AAUAGAUACCCAGGUAGUCCUAGCCGUAAACGAUGAACACUAGGCGUAGUCGGUAUCGACCCCGGCUGUGCCGUAGCUAACGCAUUAAGUGUUCCGCCUGGGGAGUACGGCCGCAAGGCUAAACUCAAAGGGAAUUGACGGGGGCCCGCACAAGCAGCGGAGCGUGUGGUUUAAUUCGUCGCAACGCGAAGAACCUUACCAGGGCUUGACAUGUGGCGGAAAACGGCGGAAACGUCGUCCUCCCGCAAGGGACCGUCAUGCAGGUGUUGCAUGGCUGUCGUCAGCUCGUGUCGUGAGAUGUUGGGUUAAGUCCCGCAACGAGCGCAACCCCCGUGGCAUGUUGUAUCUCUCAUGCCAGACUGCCGAGAGAAACUCGGAGGAAGGUGGGGAUGACGCCAAGUCAGCAUGGCCCUUACGUCCUGGGCUACACACACGCUACAAUGGCCGGUACAACGGGUUGCCAAACCGCGAGGUGGAGCUAAUCCCUUAAAGCCGGUCUCAGUUCGGAUUGCAGGCUGCAACUCGCCUGCAUG
rnacentral:rRNA from 1 species